GCAGGGGGUGCUCCAGGGGGAGGUAGGCCGCGGGGGGGGGGCCCACACCGGUAGCCAUACCUCAUUAAUGCUUGCCAAUUGUUCCCACAGGAGCCGGCCACCAUCCACGCUGCAGCAGCCCUGAGGGAAGCCAGAAAGCCUCAACCAUCAAGCUGUGUCAAUCUGCAGGCCCAGGCAAACAGGAGCAGGAGGACAGGAAGCUGUUUGCUGGCCCGAAUCCCAAGUGGCACUGAGGUAAGACCUCCCCCACACUAAC
rnacentral:lncRNA from 1 species